rnacentral:misc_RNA from 1 species
GAUGAAGAACGUAGCGAAAUGCGAUAAGUAAUGUGAAUUGCAGAUUUCAGUGAAUCAUCGAAUCUUUGAACGCACAUUGCGCCCCCUGGUAUUCCGGGGGGCAUGCCUGUUCGAGCGUCAUUUCACCACUCAAGCCUCGCUUGGUAUUGGGCAACGCGGUCCGCCGCGUGCCUCAAAUCGACCGGCUGGGUCUUCUGUCCCCUAAGCGUUGUGGAAACUAUUCGCUAAAGGGUGUUCGGGAGGCUACGCCGUAAAACAACCCCAUUUCUAAGGUUGACCUCGGAUCAGGUAGGGAUACCCGCUGAACUUAAGCAUAUCAAUAAGCGGAGGA